rfam:Ixodes scapularis strain Wikel colony gcontig_1108378362168, whole genome shotgun sequence.
CAAACGGCCUUUCUCAAGGCCGCAGAAAUCUGAAAACAGUUGUCGU